rnacentral:siRNA from 1 species
GACAAAUCCUCGGACCCGGUCGAC